GCCAUGACCUACUCUUUCUGACAAUUCUAAAAUAUAACAUGGCUAAUACUCGGAAUGUUAAGAGAAAGUAUGAAUGAUUAUAUGUCUCUCUAACAAGAUCAAGUGCUUAACGCUUAAGUUAAUUAAAUGUUAUGGACAGAAAAAUCUCUUGUCACCGUGAAGUGUCUGGAUAAAACUAAAGUUAUAUGAGCAUGCACUGGAAGGUUUUCUUACAUUAUAGAAUCUUCAUAAUAUAAAAGAUAGGUGUUAAUCCAGUUAUGUCAGAGUCCGGGGAAAUUGGAGCUCUAGAACUUCACUGUGGAUUGACAAUUGUUGCAGCAAACUCUUGUCAUUUCAUGAUCUCUAUGAUGUUUUGAAUGUUAAAACAUUUAACUGUGAACUUGCAUUUGCAUUUUUGGCCUUGUGCCUGCUUCUAAGACUGACCAUUCAAAUCCACAUCAUAAUUGACAGGUCCAAUGAAGCUCGUAUAAUGUAUGAGAAGCUUCAGUCUCAUCCUAAUGGUCAAGUGAGCAAGAAAGCAAGGCAAUUCAUGUUCAGUUUUCAGGCCAUGGAAAUGAUGAAGGUAACUGGCUCAACAUUCUCUUCAAUGAAUCUUGGCUAUCAGAAUUAUUUCAACGCCUUUAUUAGGGAUAAAGUAAACUAUUCUUUAAAAGAGGAUGAAUCUGAAGAAGGUGCAAUCCGACAGGCAAUCCCUUACAUUAUAUUUCUUCUUUUCCCUAUUUUUAUUGUGUUACUAAUUGCUCUACGAAAAGGUGUAUAAACUUUGUAUUUCACAUGCUUAAAUAGCUAGGUAGUCUUGGAACUUCAUCAUUCGUUUGAUCUUAACCUUCACAUCAAAGGGUGAAACCUAAUUUAUAUGCUAUUUUGGAACUUCUAUUUUGUAAAAUAUUUAUAUAAGUGAAAUACAUUCGAUGAAAGACCAAUUACUAUUA